rnacentral:rRNA from 3 species
GGGGCACCCUGAUCCAGCAAUGCCGCGUGUGUGAAGAAGGCCUUCGGGUUGUAAAGCACUUUUGUCCGGAAAGAAAACCAUCGCCCUAAUAUGGUGGUGGGAUGACGGUACCGGAAGAAUAAGCACCGGCUAACUACGUGCCAGCAGCCGCGGUAAUACGUAGGGUGCGAGCGUUAAUCGGAAUUACUGGGCGUAAAGCGUGCGCAGGCGGUCUGUUAAGACCGAUGUGAAAUCCCCGGGCUUAACCUGGGAACUGCAUUGGUGACUGGCAGGCUUUGAGUGUGGCAGAGGGGGGUAGAAUUCCACGUGUAGCAGUGAAAUGCGUAGAGAUGUGGAGGAAUACCGAUGGCGAAGGCAGCCCCCUGGGCCAACACUGACGCUCAUGCACGAAAGCGUGGGGAGCAAACAGGAUUAGAUACCCUGGUAGUCCACGCCCUAAACGAUGUCAACUAGUUGUUGGGGAUUCAUUUCCUUAGUAACGUAGCUAACGCGUGAAGUUGACCGCCUGGGGAGUACGGUCGCAAGAUUAAAACUCAAAGGAAUUGACGGGGACCCGCACAAGCGGUGGAUGAUGUGGAUUAAUUCGAUGCAACGCGAAAAACCUUACCUACCCUUGACAUGGUCGGAAUCCCGCUGAGA